CCCUCUUUGGUGCAGUGGUAGCACACUCCGUCCUGGCUCCUUAGAGAGACAGUUUCCUAUUUAUAGCCGCGUUCAACGUGAGUGGGAGAGACCCAGGUUCGAAUCCUGGAAGAGGGG